UCGAGCGGAUGUAAGGGAGCUUGCUCCUGGAUUCAGCGGCGGACGGGUGAGUAAUGCCUAGGAAUCUGCCUGGUAGUGGGGGAUAACGUCCGGAAACGGGCGCUAAUACCGCAUACGUCCUGAGGGAGAAAGUGGGGGAUCUUCGGACCUCACGCUAUCAGAUGAGCCUAGGUCGGAUUAGCUAGUUGGUGGGGUAAAGGCCUACCAAGGCGACGAUCCGUAACUGGUCUGAGAGGAUGAUCAGUCACACUGGAACUGAGACACGGUCCAGACUCCUACGGGAGGCAGCAGUGGGGAAUAUUGGACAAUGGGCGAAAGCCUGAUCCAGCCAUGCCGCGUGUGUGAAGAAGGUCUUCGGAUUGUAAAGCACUUUAAGUUGGGAGGAAGGGCAGUAAGUUAAUACCUUGCUGUUUUGACGUUACCAACAGAAUAAGCACCGGCUAACUUCGUGCCAGCAGCCGCGGUAAUACGAAGGGUGCAAGCGUUAAUCGGAAUUACUGGGCGUAAAGCGCGCGUAGGUGGUUCAGCAAGUUGGAUGUGAAAUCCCCGGGCUCAACCUGGGAACUGCAUCCAAAACUACUGAGCUAGAGUACGGUAGAGGGUGGUGGAAUUUCCUGUGUAGCGGUGAAAUGCGUAGAUAUAGGAAGGAACACCAGUGGCGAAGGCGACCACCUGGACUGAUACUGACACUGACGUGCGAAAGCGUGGGGAGCAAACAGGAUUAGAUACCCUGGUAGUCCACGCCGUAAACGAUGUCGACUAGCCGUUGGGAUCCUUGAGAUCUUAGUGGCGCACCUAACGCGAUAAGUCGACCGCCUGGGGAGUACGGCCGCAA
rnacentral:rRNA from 1 species